UCUAACCCUUAAUCUGAGCAUCGUCUCCUCUUUGUGUUCCUCGAAAAGAAAAUAUGAGCAUCGUCUCCUCGGAUUUGACUACAAAAUUGGCAACCUGUAUCCGAUUGAAUCAACCAGUGCAUGAUGGAGAAGCCCCCUCCGCACAGCCUCUCUGCUGCAUCAUACAGAUUUUGUUGCCAUGCGGCUCGAUAGCAGGUGGCAAUGGCCGAAGUUUCUAUCAUCCACGUCAAAUUUGCACAGCCGUACUUAGCGUUGGGCGGAACAUGUACUCUGCGCUAAAGUAUCAUGAAUCGCAGUGUAGAAGAUAUCGGAUAUCCUGCAGAAGAGAAGCAAUGCUACAACCUGCUAGGAGAACUAUAGGAGUUAUAGAAUCAAGUCAAGGGAGCAACCACAGUAAUGGAAAAUAGGUAUGGGAUCUGUACAACCAACUGUUGCUAGCGGUGGCAGGCAAGGAAGAUCCCUAUUGCGCCUCUGGCUGCUACGGCGACGUGAGAAGGAGAGUAAGGAACAACAUCUACGGAGGAUUGCACGGGAACGAUGGAAACGUGCAGAUGCCUAUGCAAGUCCAAGUUGGUCGCCCACCAGCACAAUACUGUCCCAACUAAAGAGAGCUUAUGCCAAAUAUAUUUUGUGAACCAUUAAGGUGAGCAGCACAUGAAAAUAACAGAAGGAGAAGCAACCGAAGUCCUAAAUUCCAUUGCAACGACCGGACGACCGAAACACUAGGACAUGGAAACGACCAAGCAGAAAGCUACAGGAGGAGUUCAUGCUAAAUAUGCCUCUGAACGAGAGGGUCUAGAGUUGUAGCUAAUGUUCUUUCUUCCCAGUUUUGUUACAGAAAGGUUGGCGUAAUAGCACCCAAAAUCCUACCAGCAGUACCUAUUCGAUAAAUUUGUCGAAUUUAGUUGUUGUAGUACCUGAUUAUGAAAACAACAAGAAAAAUCAGCAGAAGAAU